rnacentral:rRNA from 1 species
UACAGAGGUCCCAAGCGUUGUUCGGAUUCACUGGGCGUAAAGGGUGCGUAGGUGGUCGGGUAAGUCUGAUGUGAAAUCUUCGAGCUCAACUCGAAAAUGGCAUUGGAUACUAUUCGGCUGGAGGGUUGGAAGGGGGACUGGAAUUCUCGGUGUAGCGGUGAAAUGCGUAGAUAUCGAAAGGAACACCUGCGGCGAAGGCGGGUUGCUGGGCUGACACUGACGCUGAUGCGCGAAAGCCAGGGGAGCGAACGGG